AGCGAACGCUGGCGGCAGGCCUAACACAUGCAAGUCGAGCGCCCAGCAAUGGGAGCGGCAGACGGGAUAGUAACACGUGGGAACGUACCCUUCAGUUCGGAACAACCCAGGGAAACUUGGGCUAAUACCGAAUACGUCCGUAAGGAGAAAGAUUUAUCGCUGAAGGAUCGGCCCGCGUCUGAUUAGCUAGUUGGUGAGGUAAUGGCUCACCAAGGCGACGAUCAGUAGCUGGCUGAGAGGAUGAUCAGCAUCACUGGGACUGAGACACGGCCCAGACUCCUACGGGAGGCAGCAGUGGGAAUAUUGGACAAUGGGCGCAAGCCUGAUCCAGCCAUGCCGCGUGGAUGAUGAAGGCCCUAGGGUUGUAAAGUCCUUUCGACGGGGAAGAUAAUGACGGUACCCGUAGAAGAAGCCCCGGCUAACUUCGUGCCAGCAGCCGCUGUAAU
rnacentral:rRNA from 1 species